AUUGAACGCUGGCGGCAGGCCUAACACAUGCAAGUCGUGCGGAUGAUGGUAGCUUGCUACCUGAUUCAGCGGCGGACGGGUGAGUAAUGCCUAGGAAUCUGCCUGGUAGUGGGGGACAACGUUUCGAAAGGAACGCUAAUACAGCAUACGUCCUACGGGAGAAAGUGGGGGAUCUUCGGACCUCACGCUAUCAGAUGAGCCUAGGUACGAUUAGCUAGUUGGUGAGGUAAAGGCUCACCAAGGCGACGAUCGUUAACUGGUCUGAGAGGAUGAUCAGUCACACUGGAACUGAGACACGGUCCAGACUCCUACGGGGAGCAGCAGUGGGGAAUAUUGGACAAUGGGCGAAAGCCUGAUCCAGCCAUGCCGCGUGUGUGAAGAAGGUCUUCGGAUUGUAAAGCACUUUAAGUUGGGAGGAAGGGCAGUAAGUUAAUACCUUGCUGUUUUGACGUUACCGACAGAAUAAGCACCGGCUAACUUCGUGCCAGCCGCCGCGGUAAAAC
rnacentral:rRNA from 1 species